CCUGACUCCAGCACCCACCUGACUUGUCCAGCUCCUCUGGAACUCUGCACAACGUUCUGAAGAUGGCUGCCAGGAGUGCUGCGGAACCAGGCCUGUUCCAGUACGUUCAUUCAAGUUUCCAGUUAACAUGAGAAGCCACUGGGGGAUCCUGGCCUGUCAUCGGGUGUAUCUCCUCAAUGUCCUGGAACAUGGCUGAAAUGGGAGGUGGGCCUUCACUCCAGCUAUUCUCAGCCUCCCAGAGUUCUCCGUGAGUGAUGCUUCCAGAUUCUCCCCCAGCGGCCUGCAGAGAUCCCUCCAGGUGCCCAGUCUGAAGCUAGUCUCCUUCUCGACCACCUCAAUGUCCCUUUGGCUUUGGGGUCCCUCUUUGGUUCUGCAUGGGGUAGCAGAGGCUGGCGGUAUAGCCUCAGCUGCUAGGUAAACAGCCUUGAGUGUUCAGACUUGGGCGUGUCACUGGGAUUCAUGGCGGAGGAGGAAGUCAGUUCCUUGUGCGGUCCAGGAGGCCAUUCAUCCCCCAGGGCACCUGUUUCUUGGGGCUCUGUAUGUCUGUCUACCGGGGAAUCUGAGUUCUCAGGUCCUCCCUUGGGCUGCUUCUCUUAUUUCCGUUUUUUCCCCCCAAGGAAAUCAAAUCUUGUAGAGAUGGAGUCCCAGUUUAGCAUAAACUCCCGCUCCAGCGGGAACCCAGUCUGCCCUGGCCCAACGCAGAUGGCGGCGCCCAUAGCCAAGGUACCUGGGCUCACUGCCACCCAGGAGGCAGAAUCAGUCUUUGCUCCGCUGAGGAUGCUGUGGCCAUGACACUGGCUGGGCCUCCUGCCUUCGGUUUCUGCCGCCACUUGCCCCCAACGACCGCCAUGGGCGCACAGUUAAUUAGCAGGUCCUGGAAAGCUCAUCAAUAAUAGAACCGGUGGCCGCGGCUGAUGGCUGGCACACGGUGGACAGUGAGGCCCCGGUGGCAGCGGCUGAUGGCCGGCACACGGUGGACAGCAAGGCCCCGUAAAUCAGUUUGACGGGCACUGACCAAGAAAGAGCUUCCCACAGUCCUCAGGCUGGGAAGCGCUGAGGCAGGCUGAUGGUGCCUGUUCCACCUCUGCCCCUCACUGCUCCAGCCACACCGGUCCUCCGAUAUCUCUUCCUCCUGCCAUCUGGCUCUUGUCUUUUUCCUUCAUCUCAGGUCCCAGAAAAGCAUAGCCCUUCCCCAGUCGCCACCCCACACUCUGGGAUCUUAUAGAAGGGGUUUGCUGGCCGGUUUUUGAAAUAAACUAGAGACAACUGAGAGAAGGGAAAUCUCAGUUGAAAAAAAAAUGCCUC
rnacentral:sRNA from 1 species